UACGAAGGGGGCUAGCGUUGCUCGGAAUCACUGGGCGUAAAGCGCACGUAGGCGGCUUCUUAAGUCAGGGGUGAAAUCCUGGAGCUCAACUCCAGAACUGCCUUUGAUACUGAGAAGCUUGAGUCCGGGAGAGGUGAGUGGAACUGCGAGUGUAGAGGUGAAAUUCGUAGAUAUUCGCAAGAACACCAGUGGCGAAGGCGGCUCACUGGCCCGGUACUGACGCUGAGACGCGAAAGCGUGGGGAGCAAACAGG
rnacentral:rRNA from 1 species